rnacentral:lncRNA from 1 species
AGAGGCCCCGCCAGGACCUGCAGCCCUGGGCGCCCCAGCAGCCCGGCCCUGCUCAGCGCAGCUCUGGGUUGGAACUUGCACUUUCCAGUAACUCGGACCUCCCCCCGGCCGCCUUCCCAGGCGCCACCGGGCCCAGCAGAUCGUCACCGUCCAGGCUGGAGUGCAGUGGCGCGAUCUCGGCUCACCGCAACCUCCGUCUCCCCGGUUCAAGCGAUUCUCCUGCCUCAGCCUCCCAAGUAGCUGGGAUUACAGGCGUGUGCCACCACGCCCGGCGAAUGUUGUAUUUUCAGUAGAGACGGGGUUUCAGCAUGUUGGUCAAGCUGGUCUCUAACUCUUGAUCUCAAGUGAACCACCAGCCUCAGCCUCCCAAAGUGCUGGGAUUACAGGCGUGAGCCACCGCGCACGGCUAUCCCUUCCAAUAUUUCCGAGGCCAGCUGCCCAGAGAAGGAGGGCUGGGUGGAGAGGACCGUGCCAGCAGCAGUAGGCCUGGGCCAGGAGACAGGCACGCACCUCCGCGGUCUCUGGCGAGUCUAUGUCCACACAGCGGCAGGACCUCCACCCCCAGCCACCUGCAGCAGCCCCACAUCUCCACCGGGUCACCCUGCUGACAUCAAGAGUGCCUCCCGCAAUGUCCCAACCCAUGAGGGCUUCUUGGAGCUGAACCAGGGCACCGGCCACUUCUGGAGGGGGGCUGCUCGUGACUUCCGACCUCUGUCUCGCUAGUUGGCAUGAGAAGACUGGACUCCUUCUGCAGGCCUCAGGGCAGAGGCAGAUGUCAGCCCCCAGGGAUGUCACUGCCAGAACCCCAGAUGCCCCAAGCCAUCUGGACUCCCCCUGUGCAGUAUCUCUGCUACAAUAAAAUGUACCCAGAUCUGAGUCCUCUCACCUGGGCGACUGCCAAUGUCCCCUGCGGCCCUAUACCCCGCCCCCAGGAGCCCAGAGGAUCUUUCUUUUUAAAGAUAUUCAGACCUCACAGAUAAGUCUGCCCUGACCAGCCCCUCCCCAGUUCCCAGGCCCUAUCCUGACAACGGCCACAACUUCAGAGCAGCUGAAACCUGCUGUGAGUGAAAAAUGAGAAGCUGUUGUUUUAAUUUUACUUUCUCUGAUUACUAAUGAGGUUAUUUCUUCUCUGCAUAAAAACUUCAUUCGUGUUUAA